GCUUUCUCUAAAUGUUAUUUUUCUCUGUUCAGUUUUCUUGUUCACCUCUGGUUUGAAAAGCAGCAGUAUGUCUGCGUGAUUGCAGUGUGCCUGCUGGAUGAAGAGACCAGUGGCCCUCCCUGGAGCACCAGAACACAUUUUGGUCUUCAGAAUGUGAAAAGGUAUGUGUUAGGGCCGUAUCCCACCUCCAGUGUCUUAUAACGGGCACUUCAACCAGGGCACAGAGAUCUGUGUGCACACAGAAACCCUUUUCUUUCGGGACAAGGCUAUCAAUGCCCCACACAAGAGAGACUUCAAGGACGCUGUGUCCCCUGUGUGCUAGCAGAGGUCAUAUAAAAAUAACGAUGGAGGAGUGUUUUCCCGGCUCUGGUACCAGUCACGGGGAGAGCUGGAUGAACAGCCUCUGAGCAAAGCCAGCGGUGUUUGGAGAUGAUGAACCAGCGCUGCUGGGCUCGCAGCGGCCCUGCCCACGCCAGGCAGAGCUUCAGUGCAGGGUCCCCGCAGACCCUCCCCGAGCACAGCGGCGUGACGUCGCCGCUCCCCUAGGGGCCACUGCCUCCAAGUGACGCCCAGUCAGGCACACUGAUGUAGCCUCGCUGCCGCUCUUCCCGCCCACGUCUCCCGGCGGAGCUGCCCCGAGGCGGAGGCGGCCCUGGCCGCGGACCCGCUCUGCGAAGAGCGGGAGGUGCGGCAACGCCCUGGGAUGCGGCCUCGGCUCGGCCCCGCCGCCCGCCUCCCCGCCUCCCCGCCCGCUGUCAGCGCCCGGCGGCCGCAUGGGCACGGCGAGGCGUGCGGCGCCUCUCAACAGCGGCUGCUUCGGGACCGGCGGGCAGCGCCCGCGAGGGGCGGUGUCCGUCCUUUCAUCCAUCCAUCCAUCCACCCAUCCAUCCGUCCAUCCAUCCGUCCGUCCGUCCAUCCAUCCCCGCGUGGGUGGCGGCUCGUGUGCGUGAGCGUGUGUGUGACUGACACUGCGGCGCGCACAGCGAACGGGGCUGGGGGGGGAUGGGGGGGGACGCCGGCGCGCCCCGGCUGUGGCAGCCCCGUCUCCGUCCCCCGGAGCCCUCCCCGAUGGGGGCGACCUCAGCGGCCUCGCUGCUCCUCCUCCUCCCUCCUGGCGGGUGGGGGUGAUGAAGUGGAAAAGAUGGGCCACGACAUUUGCAGAAAGGUGAUCUUAAUCAUAUGGAACUGGGAGUUCGACUCGAUGAUCCUUUUGGGUCCCUUCCAACACAGGAUAUUGUUCUAUGAUAAUUUUCUGCUGUUGCCAGCAUUUAUACAUCCUCUGCAACAAUAGACAUACAGAAAAUGCUGUUUAAUCUGUAUGCUUAUAUUUUCUGUACUACAUAAAGAUCAACACAAUUCAAUGAGACAAGACAUAAUUCACCUGAUAUAUUAGGGGAAAUUUACUUAAGUAUUUUGUUUUUAUUUUUAUAUGUCAGCGUAGUCAAAUCUGACUGACCAUUCAUUUUCUAAUACCACUGAAAAUACACCAUCAAGAUGUUAUAAAAUAUUUUUUCCUCUACAGACUUUAAUAGACCAAUAUGCAUAAUGCAGUAACAUGCAAGGUUCUCUGAGAGUAUUCUGAAAGAGGUAGUUGGUAACUUGGUUAUCUGGUGUUCUUCAGUCUUAACUAAAAUAUUUCCCAGACCAAUGUACUUGUCCUUCUUUGUGUGACAGUGUAUUUGUCAUCAAAGUAAAAGAGUUUUCAUGAUGCAUUCAAUUGUGUUUCUACUGAAAAUUCAGGGGGAGUUAUUGAGAAUUUGCAGUAAUUUCAACAAUUUUGGAAAACAUAAGGAUGUUAGGUGGCAUUUUUUGACUAUUCUUGAGGGUUUUUGUUUUAUGGAAAAGAUGAUCUUGGAAUACCUUUAAAAUUUAAAACUGAGUAGUGAAAGAAACUAAGAGCUGUCUCUGGGAUAGAUGCUCUAAAUAGUGAGACUGUAAAAUAUCUAUGUAUGUUCUGUCCUGAAACAGUGGUAUACAGGUAGUGUCUCUGUUGAACAGAGUCCAGUGAUUUUUGUAUCUGAUAUUCUUAAUGUGAAAAUGUUAUCUGGGAAAUUGGAUAGAAAUUGUACAUGUUAUCCUGUUACAUCUUUUUCUCGAGCUUUUAUUGUAAGAGAUUAUUCUUUUAUACCAUUGACUCAAAGCUUGCUGAAGGACACAGAUGAAGAAAUCCAAGCAAGUCCUGGUCAAGGGUUGAGAAAUCCUUUGUCUGAAGGACAUAGGUGGCCAGGGGCAAGGAGAGAGAUAAGCUGCAGCUUAAUGGCUGGGAAGCAGUCAUUUAUAUGGGCUUAUCU
ensembl:lncRNA